rnacentral:rRNA from 1 species
UACCCUGACGAAGCAACGCCGCGUGGAGGGUGAAGGCCUUCGGGUCGUAAACUCCUGUCGACCGGGACGAAAGCAGCCUGACCCAAUACGUCGGACUGUUGACUGUACCGGUGGAGGAAGCCACGGCUAACUCUGUGCCAGCAGCCGCGGUAAUACAGAGGUGGCAAGCGUUGUUCGGAAUUACUGGGCGUAAAGGGCGCGUAGGCGGCUUGGUCAGUCCCGUGUGAAAUCCCUCGGCUCAACUGAGGAACUGCACGGGAAACUGCCUGGCUUGAGUUCGGGAGAGGGAAGCGGAAUUCCGGGUGUAGCGGUGAAAUGCGUAGAUAUCCGGAGGAACACCGGUGGCGAAGGCGGCUUCCUGGACCGACACUGACGCUGAGGCGCGAAAGCUAGGGGAGCAAACGGGAUUAGAUACCCCGGUAGUCCUAGCUGUAAACGAUGAGUGCUGGGUGUAGGGGGUAUCAACCCCUCCUGUGCCGAAGCUAACGCAUUAAGCACUCCGCCUGGGGAGUACGGUCGCAAGGCUG